ACUAUUGUUGUUGUUGUAGUUGCUAAAGAUUUUGCUUUCUGCUCCAUCCUGAUGCUGGAAAACCUUUUUAAACAUCUGUGGCAUUCUACUUUUUUGUGGUUUUUUUGUGGGGGGGGGAGAUUGGCUUUGCUCUUUGUGUGCUAUUUAUAUACAGCUUCUCUAGUGAGAGCUCUCCCCUUCCCCCAAAAGCUUUGCAUAGCCUCAUACCACAGCUAGCCACCACCUGAUGUCCUAUUUUUCCAUUGGCUCUUGCUGUUGCUGAACCUCCGCUCGCUCCAAUACUGUCUGUGCAUUUCCUGUUGCGAGACAUAAUCUUCUGUUUUUUUUCCACCCCUUUGAUGUAUUCCUAAGGAACGGAGGCAUCACGACAAGAUUGCAUGUUCGCUCACACCGCCCUGCAACUACUCUCCCACAGCUGGGAGGUGACUGUGGAAGCAAGAGGGAUGGCUGAUUGUGCCCAGCUGUUCUGCAAAAAAAGAAACAGGAUUACAACACCACAGCCAUGUGCUGUCCCAAGAGAUACCAAUCAAUGGUCGCUGUAUUUGGAGAGGCCCUGUUCAGAUGCAUCAGCGCUAUCCUGGACGCAUGUGCACAGAAAGUGUUUUUCUCCGAUGGGACAGCUCAUGAAUGGAAUACUAAUUGGGCACAGCAAGACAUCCCAGGAGCAACAUAUGUGACAACCUUUGGAGAGUUCAGUCAUAAAUCUUUUAUUACUGUGAACAGUCUUUACCAAACAUUUUCAAAAAGUUUUGCUGUGAACAUUAUGUGUGGCAGCAUCAUGUUUUCUUUUCACUGUCCAGUGGGAGCUGUCAGGAAAUGAGGUCAGUCACCGAACAGACUGGCUCGCCAAAACCUGGCCUCUCUUCAGAGAUGGCACUGGGCUUGAUCUUUCCAGAAAUUCUUUAGUACUGUGCUUCCCUUUUCAUAAAGAAGGUCACAAACAGUGUUUCAAGAAACCUGGGAUAUUUUCAUAAACAGAGAGGAAAGCAUUUUUUUUUUAAAAAAAGGUCUUAGAACAAAUUGUUUUACACAUGACGGCUGCCAAAGCACUGAAAAAGGGAAUGUCUUCAUAUAACACAUUCAGUUUAUCUUAAGUAAGAUGAGGAAAUUGCAGUCACAGCCACCGCUAUUAAUAAGUACUUAAGAUACUCAAGAAACAGUAUAACGUACAGAAAAGGAAUCUGGAAGUAAAAAUUCUGCAGGAUUUUGUACCAAACUUCCUGUUGGCAUUGCCUUGAGAAAUAAUCUUUUCAGAAAAGGUCAGACCUCAACAUCUUCAGGAAAAAUAGAUGUUAUACAUCAUUUUCAGAAACAUACCGCUGAAAGUAGAAGCUAGCAAAUGCACGAUUUGUCUUUCUUAUGCUAACUCAUGGCUUAUUUGUUAUUGGAAAUGCAUGCAUAACUCUGAGGGAAAGCACCGGGUGCAAAAGUUCACUAAACAAAAGAACAAGGUUGCCAUAUGCCAGCUUUCCCCCCGCCCCCAGGUGGUCUGAAUUAUAUUUUUCUUGGCCACAUGGCUAUUUUUUUGUGUGUGGGGGAGAGUCCUCAGUCAAUGGGCAUUUAACACUUGUAUUGAUUUCAAUGAAUUAAUGUGUUAUUUGCUACACAUACAUAUUGUAAAUGGCAAUUCUAUUAAAAAAGUAAUACGUGCUACUAAUACUUGGUGGCUGAUUUCUUGCUGUUGGUGUUGUUGCUUCUCUCAGCUGCCAUUAAAAAUAUAUAUUUUUAAAACAUAAUAAAAUGAAUAUGAUCCAACUUCCUGUCA
rnacentral:lncRNA from 1 species